rnacentral:tRNA from 6 species
GCUCCCUUAGCUCAAUUGGCAGAGCAACUGACUCUUAAUCAGUAGGUUCAUGGUUCGAGUCCAUGAGGGAGCA